rnacentral:rRNA from 1 species
GAUGAACGCUGGCGGCGUGCCUAAUACAUGCAAGUCGAACGAAGCGGGGAGGGGUGAGUAACAGGUAGAUAACCUCCUAUAAGUCUGGGAUAAAGGCGGGAAACCGGAGGUAAACCGGCUACUUAUGGAUGGAUACUCGGUGGAUUAGCUAGUUGGUAAGGUAACGGCUUACAAAGGCAACGAUGCAUAGCCGACCUUAGAGGGUGAUCGGCCACACUGGAACUGAGACACGGCCCAGACUCCUACGGGAGGCAGCAGUAGGGAAGCUUCCGCAAUGGGCGAAAGUCUGACGGAGCAACGCCGCGUGAGUGAUGAAGGUUUUCGGAUCGUAAAACUCUGUUAUUAGGGAAGCGGUACCUAAUCAGAAAGCCACGGCUAACUACGUGCCAGCAGCCGCGGUAAUAC